rnacentral:rRNA from 1 species
CCUACGGGAGGCAGCAGUGGGGAAUAUUGGACAAUGGGCGGAAGCCUGAUCCAGCAACGCCGCGUGAGGGAUGACGGCCUUCGGGUUGUAAACCUCUUUCAGUACCGACGAAGCGAAAGUGACGGUAGGUACAGAAGAAGCACCGGCCAACUACGUGCCAGCAGCCGCGGUAAUACGUAGGGUGCGAGCGUUGUCCGGAAUUAUUGGGCGUAAAGGGCUCGUAGGCGGUUUGUCGCGUCGGGAGUGAAAACACUGGGCUUAACUCAGUGCUUGCUUUCGAUACGGGCAGACUAGAGGUAUGCAGGGGAGAACGGAAUUCCUGGUGUAGCGGUGAAAUGCGCAGAUAUCAGGAGGAACACCGGUGGCGAAGGCGGUUCUCUGGGCAUUACCUGACGCUGAGGAGCGAAAGUGUGGGGAGCGAACAGGAUUAGAUACCCUGGUAGUCCACACCGUAAACGUUGGGCGCUAGGUGUGGGGUCCAUUCCACGGAUUCCGUGCCGCAGCUAACGCAUUAAGCGCCCCGCCUGGGGAGUACGGCCGCAAGGCUAAAACUCAAAUGAAUUGACGGCUGAGACGNGCGACGACGACGACGAGGAGAG